UCAAUCUCGUGCGGCUAGAAGCCGCCUGUCCCUCUAAGAAGAUUGCUACGCCGCCAGCAUUUAGAUCGCGGCGCCUAUUUAGCAGGCUAGAGUCUCGUUCGUUAU
rnacentral:rRNA from 1 species